rnacentral:rRNA from 1 species
GACGAACGCUGGCGGCGUGCUUAACACAUGCAAGUCGAACGGAAAGGCCCUUCGGGGUACUCGAGUGGCGAACGGGUGAGUAACACGUGGGUGAUCUGCCCUGCACUUUGGGAUAAGCCUGGGAAACUGGGUCUAAUACCGAAUAGGACCACGCGCUUCAUGGUGUGUGGUGGAAAGCUUUUGCGGUGUGGGAUGGGCCCGCGGCCUAUCAGCUUGUUGGUGGGGUAAUGGCCUACCAAAGCGACGACGGGUAGCCGGCCUGAGAGGGUGACCGGCCACACUGGGACUGAGAUACGGCCCAGACUCCUACGGGAGGCAGCAGUGGGGAAUAUUGCACAAUGGGCGCAAGCCUGAUGCAGCGACGCCGCGUGAGGGAUGACGGCCUUCGGGUUGUAAACCUCUUUCAAUAGGGACGAAGCGCAAGUGACGGUACCUAUAGAAGAAGCACCGGCCAACUACGUG